rnacentral:rRNA from 1 species
CCAAUAGCGUAUAUUAAAGUUGUUGCAGUUAAAAAGCUCGUAGUUGAAUUUCGGGGUUAGUAGGCUGGUCAUGCCACCGGUAUGUACUGGUCUUACUGAUUCCUCCUUCCUGAUGAACUGUAAUGCCAUUAAUUUGGUGUUGCAGGGAAUCUGGACUGUUACUUUGAAAAAAUUAGAGUGUUUAAAGCAGGCUAACGCUUGAAUACAUUAGCAUGGAAUAAUGAAAUAGGACGUUCGAUCCUAUUUUGUUGGUUUCUAGGAUUGACGUAAUGAUUAAUAGGGAUAGUUGGGGGCAUUAGUAUUCAAUUGUCAGAGGUGAAAUUCUUGGAUUUAUUGAAGACUAACUACUGCGAAAGCAUUUGCCAAGGAUGUUUUCAUUAAUCAAGAACGAAAGUUAGGGGAUCGAAGACGAUCAGAUACCGUCGUAGUCUUAACCAUAAACUAUGCCGACUAGGGAUCGGAUGAUGUUAAUUUUUUAAUGACUCA